UACGAAGGGGGCUAGCGUUGCUCGGAAUCACUGGGCGUAAAGGGCGCGUAGGCGGCGUUUUAAGUCGGGGGUGAAAGCCUGUGGCUCAACCACAGAAUGGCCUUCGAUACUGGGACGCUUGAGUAUGGUAGAGGUUGGUGGAACUGCGAGUGUAGAGGUGAAAUUCGUAGAUAUUCGCAAGAACACCGGUGGCGAAGGCGGCCAACUGGACCAUUACUGACGGCUGAGGCGCGAAAGCGUGGGGAGCAAACAGG
rnacentral:rRNA from 1 species